GACGUAGGGGCCGAGCGUUGUCCGGAGUUACUGGGCGUAAAGGGCGGGCAGGCGGUGGAUCACAUCGGGGGUGAAAGCCCCCCGCUCAACGGGGGAGGGUCCGUCGAGAUGGGCCGACUGGAGGCAGGGAGAGGGCGGUGGAAUUCCGGGUGUAGUGGUGAAAUGCGUAGAUAUCCGGAGGAACACCAGUGGCGAAGGCGGCCGCCUGGACCUGACCUGACGCUGAGGCGCGAAGGCGUGGGGAGCGAACGGG
rnacentral:rRNA from 1 species